UUACGGCCAUAUCUCGUUGAAAUAUCGGUUCCCGUAUAAUUGCCGAAGUUAAGCAACGUCGAACCUGGUUAGUACCUCGAUGGGUGACCGCUUAGGAAUAUCAAGGGCUGUAA